rnacentral:rRNA from 1 species
UACGGAGGGUGCGAGCGUUGUCCGGAAUCACUGGGCGUAAAGGAUGCGUAGGUGGCGAGGUAAGUCGGAUGUGAAAGCUCGGAGCUCAACUCCGAAAUGGCAUUGGAAACUACCUUGCUCGAGGGUUGGAGGGGGGACUGGAAUUCUCGGUGUAGCAGUGAAAUGCGUAGAUAUCGAGAGGAACACCAGUGGCGAAGGCGAGUCCCUGGACAACUCCUGACACUGAGGCACGAAAGCUAGGGGAGCAAACAGG